UAAAAUAUAAUUAUUUUCAUAAAAUUUAAUAAAUUUUAUUUAUUAUAAUUUAAAAUUUAUAAUUUAAAUUUUUUUUUAUUUUAAUUUAUUAUUUUAUUUAAAAUAUUAAUAAAAUUUUUAAUCUUUAAGUAUAUAAUUUAGAAAAAAGAAUUAUUUUUAUAAUUUUAGUAUUGUGAAAGAAAAAUUAAAAAUUUUUAAUAUUAAAAUUAAAUUAAUUUUACCUUUUGUAUCAGGGUUUAUUAAAUAAUUUAUUUAAAAUAUAAAUUCUCGAAAUAAAUUAAUUUAAUUAAAAAUUUUAAUUAAUAUUUAAUUAUUAUUAAUAAUUUUUAGUUAGAAAUAAUAUAUUUUCAUAAUUUAAUAUCUAGUUAUUUUAUAAAUUAAUUUAAUUAAAAUUAAUUUUAUUAUUAAUAUAUAUAUAUACAUAUAUAUAUAUAUAUAUAUAUAUAUAUAUAAUUAGUAUUUAUAAUUGUUUAAAUUUUUAAAUAUUUAAACAUUAAAAUUAAUUUAAAAAUUUUAGGAAUUAACUUAAAAUUUAUUUUAAUAUAUUUUUUAAAAAUUUAUUUUUAUAGAAUUAAAAAUUUUUAUUAAUAAAUAAUAUUUAAUAAUUAAAAUGUUUAAUUUAAUUAAAAUUUAAAAUUUAUUUAAAAAAUUAUAAAAUAAUAAAUUUAAAUUAUUAAAAUUUAUUUAUAAUGAUAAAAUUAGUAAAAAAAAUUAAUUAAAUAAAUUAAAAUUUAUAAUUUAAUUUAAGGAAUUAGGCAAAAAAUUAUUCGCCUGUUUAUUAAAAACAUGGUUUUUUGAUUAUAAUAAAAAAUCUAAUCUGCUCAAUGAAUAAAAUUUAAAUAGCUGCAGUAUUGUGACUGUACAAAGGUAGCAUAAUCAUUUGUCUUUUUAUUAAGGUCUGGAAUGAAUGAUUGAAUGAAAUAAUAACUGUCUCAAAUUAAAUUUUUGAACUUAAUUUUAAGUAAAAAUUCUUAAAUUUUUAUAUUAGACGAGAAGACCCUAUAGAAUUUUAUUUAAUAUUUCAAUUAAUAAUUUAAAUUAUAUAAUUUUUUGAUUAUAUUAAUUUAAUUGGGGAAAUUAAAAAAUUUAAUAAAAUUUUUAUUUUAAAAACAAAUUAUUUGAAUAAUUUAUCUUUUAUUAAAAAAUCAAAAAUAAAUUACCUUAGGGAUAACAGCAUAAUAUUUUUUGAAAGACCUUAUUGAUAAAAAUUUUUAUGACCUCGAUGUUGAAUUAAGAUAAAUUUUUAAUGUAGAAAUUAAAAUUAUUAAGUCUGUUCGACUUUUAAAAUCUUACAUGAUUUGAGUUUAGAUCGGCGUGAGCCAGAUCGGAUUCUAUCUAUAUAAACUUUAAAUAUUUUUGUACGAAAGGACUUAAUAUUUUAAAUUAUUUAUUUAAAAUUAAUAAUUUUAAUAUUUUU
rnacentral:rRNA from 1 species